GAUGAAGAACGUAGCGAAGCGCGAAAUGUAGUGUGAAUCGCAGAACAUUGUGAAUCAUCGAAUCUUUGAACGCACAUUGCGCCUCUGGUAACUCGGAGGCAUGCCUGUCUGAGCGUCAUUUAAAACAAUAGACCCGCCAGGCGGGUUUGUAUUGGGCGUCGCGUCCUGGCGUAGCCUCAAAGACAUUGGUCACACAUGCGGACGAGCUCCUUUCGGACAGACCGUGUCAUGACUUUAAAACAUCUGACUUGACCUCAGAUCAGGUGGGACUACCGCCUGAACUUAAGCAUAUCAAUAAGCGGAGGA
rnacentral:misc_RNA from 1 species